rnacentral:rRNA from 1 species
CCUACGGGGGCUGCAGUGAGGAAUAUUGGUCAAUGGGCGCAAACCUGAACCAGCCAAGUCGCGUGAGGGAAGACGGCCCUACGGGUUGUAAACCUCUUUUGCCGGGGAGCAAGCCUGAGCACGCGUGCCCAGGCGGAGAGUACCCGGAGAAAAAGCAUCGGUUAACUCCGUGCCAGCAGCCGCGGUAAUACGGAGGAUGCGAGCGUUAUCCGGAUUUAUUGGGUGUAAGGGGUGCGCAGGCGGGCUGUUAAGCCGGCGGUAAAAAUUCAGGUCUCAACCCGGUCGAGCCGUCGGAACUGGCAGUAGUGAGGGGGCGAGAAGUAUGCGGAAUGCGUGGUGUAGCGGUGAAAUGCAUAGAUAUCACGCAGAACGCCGAUUGCGAAGGCAGCAUACCGGGGCCCAACUGACGCUGAGGCACGAAAGCGUGGGGAUCGAACAGGAUUAGAUACCCGUGUAGUC